UACGUAGGGUGCAGGCGUUAAUCGGAAUUACUGGGCGUAAAGCGUGCGCAGGCGGUUUGCUAAGACAGGUGUGAAAUCCCCGGGCUUAACCUGGGAACUGCGCUUGUAACUGGCAAGCUUGAGUGUGGCAGAGGGGGGUGGAAUUCCACGUGUAGCAGUGAAAUGCGUAGAGAUGUGGAGGAACACCGAUGGCGAAGGCAGCCCCCUGGGCUAGCACUGACGCUCAGGCACGAAAGCGUGGGGAGCAAACAGG
rnacentral:rRNA from 1 species